UCGAGAAUCAUUCGCAAUGGGCGCAAGCCUGACGGUGCGACGUCGCGUGGAGGAUGAAGGUCUUCGGAUUGUAAACUCCUGUCAUGUGGGAUAAAUGGCCAGGGCAUGAAUAGUGCCUUGGAAUGAUAGUACCACAGGAGGAAGGGACGGCUAACUCUGUGCCAGCAGCCGCGGUAAUUCAGAGGUCCCGAGCGUUGUUCGGAUUUACUGGGCGUAAAGGGAGCGUAGGCGGUUUGGUGUGUCGAAUGUGAAAGCCCACAACUCAACUGUGGAAUGGCAUUCGAGACUACUGAGCUAGAGUACUGGAGAGGAGAGCGGAAUUCUUGCUGUAGCGGUGAAAUGCGUAGAUAUCAAGAGGAACACCGGUGGCGAAGGCGGCUCUCUGGGCAGAUACUGACGCUGAGGCUCUAAAGUUAGGGGAGCAAACAG
rnacentral:rRNA from 1 species